AAUAAAAACAAUCUCUCACUGCUCCUCUCACUGCUGCUGCUCCUCUCACUGCUCCUCUCACUGCUCCGGAUCCUCUCACUGCUCCUCUCACUGCAUCUCUCACUGCUCCGGCUCCUCUCACUGCUCCUGCAUCUCUCACUGCUCCUGCUCCUCUCACUGUUCCUGCAUCUCUCACUGCUCCUGCUCCUCUCACUGCUCCUGCUCCUCUCACUGCUCCUCUCACUGCUCCGGAUCCUCUCACUGCUCCUCUCACUGCAUCUCUCACUGCUCCGGCUCCUCUCACUGCUCCUGCUCCCCUCACUGCUCCUCUCACUGCAUCUCUCACUGCUCCUGCUCCUCUCACUGCUCCUGCUCCCCUCACUGCUCCUCUCACUGCUCCUCUCACUGCUCCUCUCACUGUUCCUGCUCCUCUCACUGCUCCUGCAUCUCUCACUGCUCCGGCUCCUCUCACUGCUCCUGCUCCUCUCACUGCUCCUGCUCCCCUCACUGCUCCUCUCACUGCUCCUCUCACUGCUCCUCUCACUGUUCCUGCUCCUCUCACUGCUCCUGCAUCUCUCACUGCUCCUGCUCCUCUCACUGUUCCUGCAUCUCUCACUGCUCCUGCUCCUCUCACUGCUCCUGCAUCUCUCACUGCUCCUGCUCCUCUCACUGCUCCUCUCACUGCUCCGGAUCCUCUCACUGCUCCUCUCACUGCAUCUCUCACUGCUCCGGCUCCUCUCACUGCUCCUGCUCCCCUCACUGCUCCUCUCACUGCAUCUCUCACUGCUCCUGCUCCUCUCACUGCUCCUGCUCCUCUCACUGCAUCUCUCACUGCUCCUCUCACUGCUCCUGCUCCUGCUCCUCUCACUGCAUCUCUCACUGCUCCGGCUCCUCUCAAUGCUCCCGCUCCUCUCACUGCUCCUCUCACUGCUCACUGCAUCUCUCACUGCUCCCGCUCCUCUCACUGCAUCUCUCACUGCAUCUCUCACUGCUCCUGCACCUCUCACUGCAUCUCUCACUGCUCCCGCUCCUCUCACUGCAUCUCUCACUGCAUCUCUCACUGCUCCUGCUCCUCUCACUGCUCCUGCUCUUCUCACUGUUCACUGCUCCUGCUCCUCUCACUGGGCCCUUGCUCUUACUCUUCCUCGUCCAUACAUUAGUGUUUGUCUUUUUCUGUUUCUGUUUCCAAAAAUAUCACUCUUCAAAGUCCUCCUUUUACUGUAUUGUAUAAGUGUCAAUGUAAUAGAAAAAAAUAAUCAAAAGCAUCCCAGUAAAAAGCUAUUUUUCCCUUUACUGUUUACUGCAGGAGGCAGUACAGUAGAAACAUGGUAUGAUAGAACAGAAAAGGUUUGA
rnacentral:lncRNA from 1 species